rnacentral:lncRNA from 1 species
AUCGUCGGGCGGUCUUAAGACUUUUUAAGUCAACUCGACCGCUCUUUGAAAGAUAUGUUGUCACUUAGUGACUCCAUGUGGUCCUUCUCACUCUCUUUUCUCUUCCUUUUUUAAAGCCGUCUGCCUGUCCCCCUCAUCAACGUCGUCAUAUCGUCUCUCUUCCCUUGUUGUUAUUUUACAAAUAGAACAUUAAUUCGGCUUUCGGGUUACGUCGUCGUAACUCCGUAAUUUGUUGUAAAUUUUGAAAUUUUUAUUUUGUGAUUUGAACAGGAUGCAUGCGCAUUUUAUAAUUUUGAGAUUCCCACCCAGUGUGGUUAUUAUAUAUCUUUAAUUUGUAUGCACUAGUGUACCUUGCAUGCUG